rnacentral:rRNA from 1 species
AUAGAGACUCAGAGCUGCAUAUCAAUAAGCGGAGGAAAAGAAACUAACAAGGAUUCCCUUAGUAACGGCGAGUGAAGCGGGAAGAGCUCAAAUUUGAAAUCUUCAAGGUUCUACCUUGACGAAUUGUAGUUUAUAGAAGUGUUUUCUGUUAGUAGAGUUCGGUAAAAGUUCUUUGGAAUAGGACAUCAUAGAGGGUGAGAAUCCCGUAUUUGACCGUUAUUUCUCUAGCUUUGUGAUACACUUUCAAAGAGUCGGAUUGUUUGGGAAUGCAGUCCAAAAUGGGUGGUAAAUUUCAUCUAAAGCUAAAUAUUGGCGAGAGACCGAUAGCGAACAAGUACCGUGAGGGAAAGAUGAAAAGAACUUUGAAAAGAGAGUUAAACAGUACGUGAAAUUGUCAAAAGGGAAGCGUUUGACACCAGUGUUGUUUUUCCGAAAAUCAAUUAAGAAUGUUUUAGUUUUUGAGGAGUUAUGACUUCAUCGGCUUGCUCCUUUCUUUAUGAAACUUUCUUAAUGCACUUUUCGGUUAACAAGUCAACAUCAAUUUCUUUUGUUGUAAAAGAGUAUGAGGAAGGUGGCUUUCUUUUCGGAGAAAGUGUUUAUAGCCUUGUACUUCUGCAAUCGGAGAGAUUGGGGUCUGCAGCGUAGAUCCUUCGGGGUUAGAUACAUUUGUGCUAAGUUAUAGCUUUUCAUAGACAACUUGUUGAUUAUGUUAAGUCUUGUAGCCUACUCGCUUAUGCUAUUUUACCUACGCUUAGGAUGUUGAUAGUCACAGCGUGUAC